GUCCUGAAACUGCAAGAGGGUCUGGCUGCAGACCAUGGGCGAGUGGAGCUCCACUCUCAAACAGGAAACACGUGACCUCCACUAGCGGGCAAGCGGAAAUACGUCACCUCCACUAGCGGGCAAGCGGAAAUACGUCACCUCCACUUGAAUUUAUGAGAUGAAGGUGGCGUCGCCGGGAGCUCUUAGUUCGAACUUUAAUUCAGGUAACGUUAUGUGGAAAGCAUGAUGCAGAUAUUUGACAGUUUUUGAUGGUACCCACACAGCAGGAGACUCCUAUGCGGAUCCGUGUUCAAGUCGCCAAACCCGCGUGACUGUCACAUUCGUUUUGGAGCCGCGCAGAGGAUCAGCUCCGCCUCCGCGAGCGCGGUAAAUUCUACUGUCAAACAGCGGAUCCUGAUCGGACCCAUGUCGGAUCCUCGGACGCGCCUUUACUGAACGGUUAAACGAUGCACACCUGUCAAUCGAGAUUUUCUUGCUGGGACACGGUUCAGCUGAACCCUCUUUUGAGUGCUGUGUUCAACCUGGCAACAGAUCGGGCAACAAGGAGACUGGGAGAAAUGAUUAAAUAAUAAAAAAACAUUUUUGUUGUACAACUUGUCUUUCUCCAGUUAUUCAUUGUCAGAUGUGUUAGCUGUGCAUAGUGCAGCAUUUCAUUGAAGUUGUAGCCUAAUAGAUCAAGUAUUUUAUGUUUGCAUUGACCUGGGCCUAUAAAGCACUAAAUUAGGUUUUGACCCCAAAAAUAAUAUUUUUAAACAAAAACAGAAUAUGCUAUAA